GACGAACGCUGGCGGCGUGCCUAAUACAUGCAAGUUGAGCGCUGAAGGUUGGUACUUGUACCAACUGGAUGAGCAGCGAACGGGUGAGUAACGCGUGGGGAAUCUGCCUUUGAGCGGGGGACAACAUUUGGAAACGAAUGCUAAUACCGCAUAAAAACUUUAAACACAAGUUUUAAGUUUGAAAGAUGCAAUUGCAUCACUCAAAGAUGAUCCCGCGUUGUAUUAGCUAGUUGGUGAGGUAAAGGCUCACCAAGGCGAUGAUACAUAGCCGACCUGAGAGGGUGAUCGGCCACAUUGGGACUGAGACACGGCCCAAACUCCUACGGGAGGCAGCAGUAGGGAAUCUUCGGCAAUAGACGAAAGUCUGACCGAGCAACGCCGCGUGAGUGAAGAAGGUUUUCGGAUCGUAAAACUCUGUUGGUAGAGAAGAACGUUGGUGAGAGUGGAAAGCUCAUCAAGUGACGGUAACUACCCAGAAAGGGACGGCUAACUACGUG
rnacentral:rRNA from 1 species